GUAGGAGGGGGCUUGCCCCCGAUGGCGGUGUGUCAGUCAGUAGAUGUGUGGGCUGUCACACCGCUAUCGGGGGCAAGCCCCCUCCCAC
rnacentral:antisense_RNA from 7 species